UAGGGAAUCUUCGGCAAUGGACGAAAGUCUGACCGAGCAACGCCGCGUGAGUGAAGAAGGUUUUCGGAUCGUAAAACUCUGUUGUUAGAGAAGAACAAGGACGUUAGUAACUGAACGUCCCCUGCCGGUAUCUAACCAGAAAGCCCCGGCUAACUACGUGCCAGCAGCCGCGGUAAUACGUAGGUGGCAAGCGUUGUCCGGAGUUAUUGGGCGUAAAGCGAGCGCAGGCGGUUUCUUAAGUCUGAUGUGAAAGCCCCCGGCUCAACCGGUGAGGAUCAUUGGAAACUGGGAGACUUGAGUGCAGAAGAGGAGAGUGGAAUUCCAUAUGUAGCGGUGAAAGGCGUAGAUAUAUGGAGGAACACCAGUGGCGAAGGCGGCUCUCAGGUCUGUAACUGACACUGAGGCUCGAAAGCGUGGGGAGCAAACAGG
rnacentral:rRNA from 1 species